rnacentral:rRNA from 1 species
AACGAACGCUGGCGGCGUGGAUAAGACAUGCAAGUCGAACGAGAUUUUCUUUGGUAGCAAUACCGAAGAAAGUCUAGUGGCGAACGGGUGCGUAACACGUGGGCAAUCUGCCUUAAAGUGGGGGAUAGCUCGGCGAAAGCCGGAUUAAUACCGCAUGUGAUGAGGGAAGACAUCUUUCCAAAAUCAAAGGUGGCGCAAGCUACCGCUUUUUGAGGAGCCCGCGGCCUAUCAGCUAGUUGGUGAGGUAACGGCUCACCAAGGCGAUGACGGGUAGCUGGUCUGAGAGGACGACCAGUCACACUGGAACUGAGACACGGUCCAGACACCUACGGGUGGCAGCAGUCGAGAAUUUUUCUCAAUGGGGGAAACCCUGAAGGAGCGACGCCGCGUGGAGGAUGAAGGUCUUCGGGUUGUAAACUCCUGUCAUUUGGGAACAAUGCUGACGUAUUAACUGUACGUUAGUUGAUAGUACCAGAAGAGGAAGAGACGGCUAACUCUGUGCCAGCAGCCGCAGUAAUAC